ensembl:lncRNA
UGGGUAGUAACUGUUAGCUGUAGAGCUGACUCUAUGGGUAGUAACUGUUAGCCUUAGAGCUGACUCUAUGGGUAGUAACUGUUAGCCGUAGAGCUGACUCUAUGGGUAGUAACUGUUAGCUGUAGAGCUGACUCUAUGGGUAGUAACUGUUAGCUGUAGAGCUGACUCUAUGGGUAGUAACUGUUAGCCUUAGAGCUGACUCUAUGGGUAGUAACUGUUAGCCUUAGAGCUGACUCUAUGGGUAGUAACUGUUAGCUGUAGAGCUGACUCUAUGGGUAGUAACUGUUAGCAGUAGAGCUGACUCUAUGGGUAGUAACUGUUAGCUUUAGAGCUGACUCUAUGGGUAGUACUGUUAGCCUUAGAGCUGACUCUAUGGGUAGUAACUGUUAGCCUUAGAACUGACUCUAUGGGUAGUAACUGUUAGCCUUAGAGCUGACUCUAUGGGUAGUAACUGUUAGCCUUAGAGCUGACUCUAUGGGUAGUAACUGUUAGCUGUAGAGCUGACUCUAUGGGUAGUAACUGUUAGCUGUAGAGCUGACUCUAUGGGUAGUAACUGUUAGCUGUAGAGCUGACUCUAUGGGUAGUAACUGUUAGCCGUAGAGCUGACUCUAUGGGUAGUAACUGUUAGCUGUAGAGCUGACUCUAUGGGUAGUAACUGUUAGCUGUAGAGCUGACUCAAUGGGUAGUAACUGUUAGCCUUAGAGCUGACUCUAUGGGUAGUAACUGUUAGCUGUAGAGCUGACUCUAUGGGUAGUAACUGUUAGCCUGACUCUAUGGGUAGUAACUGUUAGCCUUAGAGCUGACUCUAUGGGUAGUACUGUUAGCAUUAGAGCUGACUCUAUGGGUAGUACUGUUAGCAUUAGAGCUGACUCUAUGGGUAUAACUGUUAGCCGUAGAGCUGACUCUAUGGGUAGUAACUGUUAGCCUUAGAGCUGACUCUAUGGGUAGUACUGUUAGCAUUAGAGCUGACUCUAUGGGUAGUACUGUUAGCAUUAGAGCUGACUCUAUGGGUAGUAACUGUUAGCCGUAGAGCUGACUCUGGGUAGUAACUGUUAGGGAGCUGACUCUAUGGGUAGUAACUGUUAGCUGUAGAGCUGACUCUAUGGGUAGUAACUGUUAGCUGUAGAGCUGACUCUAUGGGUAGUAACUGUUAGCAUUAGAGCUGACUCUAUGGGUAGUAACUGUUAGCAUUAGAGCUGACUCUAUGGGUAGUAACUGUUAGCUGUAGAGCUGACUCUAUGGGUAGUAACUGUUAGCUGUAGAGCUGACUCUAUGGGUAGUAACUGUUAGCUGUAGAGCUGACUCUAUGGGUAGUAACUGUUAGCUGUAGAGCUGACUCUAUGGGUAGUAACUGUUAGCCGUAGAGCUGACUCUAUGGGUAGUAACUGUUAGCCUUAGAGCUGACUCUAUGGGUAGUAACUGUUAGCUGUAGAGCUGACUCUAUGGGUAGUAACUGUUAGCUGUAGAGCUGACUCUAUGGGUAGUAACUGUUAGCUGUAGAGCUGAC